AGGAGGAACAGCCCCAGUGGCGGGGCCGGCUCUGGAAACCUGGAUUCAGCUCCGGCAGGAACUCCGUCUGCAGGGCCUGGAGGCUCCGGGGCGGG
rnacentral:pre_miRNA from 1 species